rnacentral:rRNA from 1 species
AGAGUUUGAUCCUGGCUCAGGAUGAACGCUAGCUACAGGCUUAACACAUGCAAGUCGAGGGGCAUCAGGAAGAAAGCUUGCUUUCUUUGCUGGCGACCGGCGCACGGGUGAGUAACACGUAUCCAACCUGCCCUUUACUCGGGGAUAGCCUUUCGAAAGAAAGAUUAAUACCCGAUAGCAUAAUGAUUCCGCAUGGUUUCAUUAUUAAAGGAUUCCGGUAAAGGAUGGGGAUGCGUUCCAUUAGGUUGUUGGUGAGGUAACGGCUCACCAAGCCUUCGAUGGAUAGGGGUUCUGAGAGGAAGGUCCCCCACAUUGGAACUGAGACACGGUCCAAACUCCUACGGGAGGCAGCAGUGAGGAAUAUUGGUCAAUGGGCGCUAGCCUGAACCAGCCAAGUAGCGUGAAGGAUGAAGGCUCUAUGGGUCGUAAACUUCUUUUAUAUAAGAAUAAAGUGCAGUAUGUAUACUGUUUUGUAUGUAUUAUAUGAAUAAGGAUCGGCUAACUCCGUGCCAGCAGCCGCGGUAAUACGGAGGAUCCGAGCGUUAUCCGGAUUUAUUGGGUUUAAAGGGAGCGUAGGUGGACUGGUAAGUCAGUUGUGAAAGUUUGCGGCUCAACCGUAAAAUUGCAGUUGAUACUGUCAGUCUUGAGUACAGUAGAGGUGGGCGGAAUUCGUGGUGUAGCGGUGAAAUGCUUAGAUAUCACGAAGAACUCCGAUUGCGAAGGCAGCUCACUGGACUGCAACUGACACUGAUGCUCGAAAGUGUGGGUAUCAAACAGGAUUAGAUACCCUGGUAGUCCACACAGUAAACGAUGAAUACUCGCUGUUUGCGAUAUACAGUAAGCGGCCAAGCGAAAGCAUUAAGUAUUCCACCUGGGGAGUACGCCGGCAACGGUGAAACUCAAAGGAAU